UGGGGAAUAUUGCACAAUGGGCGCAAGCCUGAUGCAGCCAUGCCGCGUGUAUGGAGAAGGCCUUCGGGUUGUAAAGUACUUUCAGCGGGGAGGAAGGGAGUAAAGUUAAUACCUUUGCUCAUUGACGUUACCCGCAGAAGAAGCACCGGCUAACUCCGUGCCAGCAGCCGCGGUAAUACGGAGGGUGCAAGCGUUAAUCGGAAUUACUGGGCGUAAAGCGCACGCAGGCGGUUUGUUAAGUCAGAUGUGAAAUCCCCGGGCUCAACCUGGGAACUGCAUCUGAUACUGGCAAGCUUGAGUCUCGGAGAGGGGGGUAGAAUUCCAGGUGUAGCGGUGAAAUGCGUAGAGAUCUGGAGGAAUACCGGUGGCGAAGGCGGCCCCCUGGACGAAGACUGACGCUCAGGUGCGAAAGCGUGGGGAGCAAACAGG
rnacentral:rRNA from 1 species